rnacentral:rRNA from 1 species
GACCUCGAAUCAGGUAGGAAUACCCGCUGAACUUAAG